rnacentral:lncRNA from 1 species
GCGGGUCUGGGUCGGGUCGGACAAAUGUGAACCGGGUCAACUGACACGAUAUUAAAAAAAAAAUCGUGGAACCCUAACCCAGCUUCUCUCUCGCGUUUCUCUCCCAUCUUCUCUCUCCUUCUUUUCCUCAGGCUCCAGCCACCAAUGUCGCUCCUAGCUCCGGUCGUGGGUCGCCGCGCGCCACUCUACCCUCCAGCUUUGGAGCCGUGCCCCCUCCAGCUGUCGCCGCCGCACCGUAUCAACGGUUGUCAAAUUUAAGCGAGAGAUGGUGAAAGCGCCGACCUUCACCGAUUGAGGGCGGGGGCGGCGUUGUGGUUGCAAAUUGAGAUCUCGCUUGUGUGUUAGUGAACGAGUUCAGGGAGAUAAGGGGGAAGGGGGCGAAGACAGUCGAGGGAGGCGAUGACACCGAGAAUCGAAGGUGGGCAGCGGCGCCGCCUCUAAUUUCAUCCUUCUCUCUUCUCACGACGAACGGGAGAGAUCUGACGCCGAGGCCUGAGAGAAAUCACGGUCGCCGUCGGAGUCAUAGUCUGGUAUUGAGGCAGCGGCGGCGGCGCAGCACGUGCAGUGCACUUUGCUCUUCUGCCCAACUUAUGUUUCUAUGUGUAUGUUGAAGUAUCAUUUGACACUUGACACUUUCAUAAAUAACACUAUCAUUUAGAGAUUUGGUGGAGAAUGGGAAUUUGGGGUUUGAUUGGAGGAGAGAGGUGAGGAUGUUUUAGUUUGAAAUGUUGAACCUCUGUUCAUGGGGAAUUGCUAGUUCAUGGAGCUGGUGGCUGGCUGGACCUUCUGGGCGAAGGGCCGGUGGAGAUAGGGCUGCGGCUGGGUGGUGUCCAAGGCACUGGAUCUCGAGCCGAAGAAAUCGAGCCUGC